GCCGAGAUAGCUCAAUGGUAGAGCAGCUGUUUUGUAAACAGCAGGUUCCGGGUUCGAGCCCCGGUCUCGGCU
rfam:Parcubacteria (Nomurabacteria) bacterium GW2011_GWA1_46_11 TX31_C0040, whole genome shotgun sequence.